rnacentral:rRNA from 1 species
AGAGUUUGAUCAUGGCUCAGAUUGAACGCUGGCGGCAGGCCUAACACAUGCAAGUCGAGCGGUAACACAGGGAGCUUGCUCCCGGGUGACGAGCGGCGGACGGGUGAGUAAUGUCUGGGAAACUGCCUGAUGGAGGGGGAUAACUACUGGAAACGGUAGCUAAUACCGCAUAACGUCGCAAGACCAAAGAGGGGGACCUUCGGGCCUCUUGCCAUCAGAUGUGCCCAGAUGGGAUUAGCUAGUAGGUGGGGUAACGGCUCACCUAGGCGACGAUCCCUAGCUGGUCUGAGAGGAUGACCAGCCACACUGGAACUGAGACACGGUCCAGACUCCUACGGGAGGCAGCAGUGGGGAAUAUUGCACAAUGGGCGCAAGCCUGAUGCAGCCAUGCCGCGUGUAUGAAGAAGGCCUUCGGGUUGUAAAGUACUUUCAGCGGGGAGGAAGGCGCUGAGGUUAAUAACCUCAGCGAUUGACGUUACCCGCAGAAGAAGCACCGGCUAACUCCGGGCCAGCAGCCGCGGUAAUACGGAGGGUGCAAGCGUUAAUCGGAAUACUGGGCGUAAAGCGCACGCAGGCGGUCUGUCAAGUCGGAUGUGAAAUCCCCGGGCUCAACCUGGGAACUGCAUUCGAAACUGGCAGGCUAGAGUCUUGUAGAGGGGGGUAGAAUUCCAGGUGUAGCGGUGAAAUGCGUAGAGAUCUGGAGGAAUACCGGUGGCGAAGGCGGCCCCCUGGACAAAGACUGACGCUCAGGUGCGAAAGCGUGGGGAGCAAACAGGAUUAGAUACCCUGGUAGUCCACGCCGUAAACGAUGUCGACUUGGAGGUUGUGCCCUUGAGGCGUGGCUUCCGGAGCUAACGCGUUAAGUCGACCGCCUGGGGAGUACGGCCGCAAGGUUAAAACUCAAAUGAAUUGACGGGGGCCCGCACAAGCGGUGGAGCAUGUGGUUUAAUUCGAUGCAACGCGAAGAACCUUACCUACUCUUGACAUCCAGAGAACUUUCCAGAGAUGGAUUGGUGCCUUCGGGAACUCUGAGACAGGUGCUGCAUGGCUGUCGUCAGCUCGUGUUGUGAAAUGUUGGGUUAAGUCCCGCAACGAGCGCAACCCUUAUCCUUUGUUGCCAGCGGUCCGGCCGGGAACUCAAAGGAGACUGCCAGUGAUAAACUGGAGGAAGGUGGGGAUGACGUCAAGUCAUCAUGGCCCUUACGAGUAGGGCUACACACGUGCUACAAUGGCGCAUACAAAGAGAAGCGACCUCGCGAGAGCAAGCGGACCUCAUAAAGUGCGUCGUAGUCCGGAUUGGAGUCUGCAACUCGACUCCAUGAAGUCGGAAUCGCUAGUAAUCGUAGAUCAGAAUGCUACGGUGAAUACGUUCCCGGGCCUUGUACACACCGCCCGUCACACCAUGGGAGUGGGUUGCAAAAGAAGUAGGUAGCUUAACCUUCGGGAGGGCGCUUACCACUUUGUGAUUCAUGACUGGGGUGAAGUCGUAACAAGGUAACCGU